rnacentral:lncRNA from 1 species
CUAAGCUGUGUGUAAGCCAUGCUCAGGAGCUCUCAUUGCUUGCUGCAUGCAGGGGUAGUGAGAUGCAGUCAGACUGCUUCUGUUAUCUGCCUGCAGCACAGGGAUAUGUGAACAGCUGUAGAGAUCAUCCCCUUGUGUCCAUUUCCCAAACCCUUUGGCUGGCUGCUCUUUCUUAUACCAGUAAAGGUAUGCUGAUGCUGCAGGUGAGCUGCUAGGUCCUAAUGCCGACCGUUUUCUUGCCUUGGACUAAAAACGAAAUCCAAGCCACUUACAAAGCAUUUCUUCAGCCCAUCAGCUACCUGACUUUUCUGGGAGGCGGCUGAAACAGAGUCUUCUUGGAGAUCAGGCUUUUGGAAAAAAUGGGCUAUUGCAGUGGCAGGUGCACACUGAUAUUUAUCUGUGGGAUGCAACUGG